UCUCCCCGCCCCAGGCCCGGAGCUGCUCUGCGCAUGCUCGUCCGGCAGAGUUCCCUGGGAGGCGUUGCUGGCAAGAAGCGAACUUUUCCCGGGACGAUGUCGCGACCCGGCCCUCCCCAGGAACCGGUCAGAAACAGUUUGAUAGAUGACGCUAAGGCCCGCUUAAAAAAGCAUGACUCUGGGACUGAAUAUUCUCACUGUUCAUCUAACAAAUGUUCGAUCCUUCUACCAUUGUUGGCUAAAGAUGGGAAACUUUACCUGUUGUUCACCCUCCGGUCAGAGAAGCUGAGAAGGUCACCCGGAGAGGUCUGCUUUCCUGGAGGUAAGUGCGAACCUACGGACGCGGACGACGUGGCCACGGCUCUCCGGGAGGCCCAGGAGGAAGUGGGGCUGCGUCCUCAUCAAGUGGAGGUGGUCUGCUGCCUGAUGCCACUGCCGUUUGAUAAGGAUAUGUGGAUAACGCCAGUUGUAGGAUUUAUAGACUCCAACUUUGAGGCCAGACCGAACCCGGAUGAAGUUAAGAACGUGUUCCUGGUGCCUCUGGACUACUUCCUGCGUCCCCGUGUUUACCAUCAGAGUCACCUGACACGCUGCGGUCGUCGUGUUAUUGUUCACUGCUUUGAGUACACGGACCCUGAAGAUGGUGUGACGUACUGCAUCCGGGGACUGACCGCAAGAUGUGCCGUGUUUAUCGCCUUAGUGAUUUUGGGGGAGAAACCUUCCUUUGAGGUUGACUUUAAUCUCAGCGAUUUGAUUCCACCCUUUGAAGAGUCCUUCCUGAAGCCUCAGAAACAUGCUCUGAGCAAGUUAUGAUUUAUGAGACCAACACCCAAAUGACUCUCUGAGCAGUGUUCUUGUGGGCUUAGCCACGGAACAAUGAUUUGACCAGCUGUUGGAAUUUGACAGGUGUGAAUAUUUUUACUGCAGCUUGAAGGUGUGACAGAAACUCCUGACCAGCCAUCAGAACACACCCUCCUCCUUGGCUGUAGAGUUGAAGCUGAGCCCAUAGCUCCCCAGGCAGAACCAGCAUUGACUAAGUUCCAGUGCAGUUAAAUGUAGCUCUGAAAUUGAAUUUAGGCCAAUGGGAUGUGAAAUCGUUCUUGCUGGUCAUCUCCAAUUUCAAUUUAAGAGAUAAACCAAACUCCCUCGAUUGCCUUUUCCAUGAUUUAUCUGCAGCCCAGCCUUGACUUUACAGAUAAGACAAUUCCUGCAGGAAAGUCAGAGCUAAAAGAUGUAAGAGCUUGGAUCUCUGAAAGACUGUGGAGCAAAGCAACCUGCCAUCCUGGGCUAUUCCUUUGGGACUGUUACAUGGGAGAAAAAGAAAGCUCUGUCAUUUCUGCCACUGUAAUUGGGGUCAUUUUGUUACAGCAGAGCUAUAGCCUGAAUAAUACACCAUAACUC